AGCUGUCAGUGACAGCUUCGAAACAGAAAGAAGAAGAAGAAGAAGAAGAAAAAGACGAAAACAGUUUUGAUUUGUCUGCAAAUCGAUAGCCAGAAAUACAAAUCCCCCGAAGUUCGGAACAUUCCAACGAUGAACUCUGCGUGGCUAAGUUUGAUUCUGCUGGGAAAUCUUGUGCGACGCAACAGUGAAACGGACCAAAAUAUUAACCGUUCAAUUUGAACUCGUUAUAUCGGAUUUAUCAUGAUCUAGUGAUGAGUUUUGACUAUCUGGAAUACUCCACAUAAUUUAAGGCAAGAAUCGCACGAAUGUGCAUAGGAUAGUUUGUAAGAAUCGCUUUAUCGGCUUCCGUGACAACGAAUAAUCGUAAACUUUCGCCGACGGAACUGAUUCUCCAAACCGAUCAUCUGCCAACGUCAGUCAGAUAUCGACAGCAUAACAAAUAUUACAAUUUCUCAGAAUGAUAAUACGGUUUGACAUACCAGGGUUGUUAAUAGGAAAAUCGUCGGUCGUAUAGCUAACGGGCCUGCGCAUGCCACACAUCUAGUAAUGACACGAGUACCCAGAACAGAAACAAAUUACGUCAUUGGCCUGUGUUGGAUACUGACUAUGAAGUAACUGGAUAACCGAAAAUUCUAGUGCAUUCCUACCGGUUGAUGAACCCUUCGAGUGAAUCCAUACAUUCGGAAUGUGAAACAAACGAUUGAACAGGAAGAUCCGGUGGAAACUUCAUGCAACCAUUUAUUCAAAAAAGUAAAGGCGGUGCGUGCCAAAUCUACAUGACUGUUAAGGUCAUUGGUAUGGCUGGCUUAAACGAUAGUGUUCGCUACAAAGAAGUAAUACGUGUUUCGUGGUGGAUGAAUAUAUAUUUUAUUUGUAAGCACUAAUUUCGUUACAGAUUAUCGUUGAAGAUUAUUACUGUUAAUGCAAUGUUUAGUGAUUAGCUGUAAUCGUUUUAAGGACACUUCUCGUUUUGAUUUUCCUCCGAAGUGCAUGGUCGUACCAUCGUUAUUACCUGCUAACCCAACUAACUCGUCAAGAAUUUGAUUCGGAGUUCAGUAUGAUCUUCAAAUGGAUUCCGAAUCAAAUACAACAACCGAUUCCGAACCGAUCCGAGUCGGAAUCGAUUGUUGCAUCUGGUUCGGAAUCCGUUUGGAAAUCAUACUUCCAAAUCAAAUUCCAUACGAAUUGAUUGGAAAAGGGGCUAAAGGAGAUGAAGACAUUUUGUAUUUCAGUCAACUCCUGCAAAAUGUGAUAAUUUCUUUAGUGAGUGAGAAAGUUCGUUCGUUACAAGUAUUGUUGUAUUAAAAAUAAAUAAUCCGUUCCAUAAUA